CAGCCGCCACGGGAAUACGUAGGUGGCAAGCGUUAUCCGGAAUUAUUGGGCGUAAAGGGCUCGCAGGCGGUUUCUUAAGUCUGAUGUGAAAGCCCCCGGCUCAACCGGGGAGGGUCAUUGGAAACUGGGAAACUUGAGUGCAGAAGAGGAGAGUGGAAUUCCACGUGUAGCGGUGAAAUGCGUAGAGAUGUGGAGGAACACCAGUGGCGAAGGCGACUCUCUGGUCUGUAACUGACGCUGAGGAGCGAAAGCGUGGGGAGCGAACAGGAUUAGAGACCCGAGUAGUCCCUGUCUCUUAUAA
rnacentral:rRNA from 1 species